CGGGACGGGUGAGUAACGCGUGGAGAACCUGCCGUAUACUGGGGGAUAACACUUAGAAAUAGGUGCUAAUACCGCAUAAGCGCACAGCUUCGCAUGAAGCAGUGUGAAAAACUCCGGUGGUAUACGAUGGAUCCGCGUCUGAUUAGCUUGUUGGCGGGGUAAAGGCCCACCAAGGCGACGAUCAGUAGCCGGCCUGAGAGGGUGAACGGCCACAUUGGGACUGAGACACGGCCCAAACUCCUACGGGAGGCAGCAG
rnacentral:rRNA from 1 species